CGUAGGACGCAAGCGUUAUCCGGAAUUACUGGGCGUAAAGCGCGUGUAGGUGGAUGUCUAAGUCACUUGUGAAAGCUCCUGGCUAAACUGGGAGAGGUCAGGUGAUACUGGAUAUCUUGAGGAUGUCAGAGGGAAGCAGAAUUCCGGGUGUAGUGGUGAAAUGCGUAGAGAUCCGGAGGAAUACCAGAGGCGAAGGCGGCUUCCUGGGACAUACCUGACACUGAGACGCGAAAGCACGGGGAGCGAACGGGAUUAGAGACCCCGGUAGUCCGUGCCGUAAACGAUGCAGACUAGAUGUACGUUCCUCUACGGGGGAAUGUGUGUCGAAGCUAACGCGAUAAGUCUGCCGCCUGGGGAGUACGGUCGCAAGGCUA
rnacentral:rRNA from 1 species